UGGGCCUGGGCCUGCAGAGACCAGCAGAUGUCUGUCACUCGCGCUCCCCCACUUCACCACGGGGCCAGGACCAGGACAGCCUGUUGCAGCGCACCAAGGAGGCUGGGCUUCUCCAGAGUGUGGCCCUGUCCCUUCCUGUGGGACUGUCCUCUCUAGUCCCUGCUGGGCCCUGCUCUCUGCUUAGCAAGGGCAUCGAUGGCUUCAUAAGCACCGAACAUCAUCUGCUUUCUGCUCUUCAUUACCAAUACAGAAAAACAAACCUAAGGAGAGUCUUCCUAGUGCAAGAAAGAACGGAACAUCGCAAGUUCCCAGGGCCACACCAACCCCACACAGCAGACACAACGCGAGAGGUGACUCCACCCGGGGACCCUGUGUGGCAUGAACGUGAGUCCUCAUCCUCACGGUUGUCCCGGGCAAGCCCUGAAGUGCCGAGCAUAGGGGAGCACAGGCUAAAUGUGUGGAAUGGAGCCGGAUUAGAAGAGGAGACGCUCCUGCUAAUUCUGGACUUGCUUCCUACGCGUGCCAGCUCCCUGCUGUUGGACCUCGGCCCCGCCAGUCUUCCCCUCUGAACGUGUUUCUUCUUCUGUGAAAUAGGAGUAAUCAUGUGCUCUUCUUACCUCAUACGUCAUUGCAAGGAUUAAACUAGAUGGCACGUGUGAAAAUGCUUGUACACUCCAAAGAACCACGUGAGGCAUCGUAAGCGCUGUGAGGAUUGCUACUAUUUUGAGCCCACAGUGGGAGACUGGACCUGGGAGAAAUGGCAGAUGGCCCGGGGUUGUGGGGCAGGAGGCUGACUUGUUUGCUUAUCAGUGGAAAACACACUCUGACUCAUAUCAGAAAAGAAGCCUGGCAAACAUUAAAAAAGAAAAAAAUUUGGAGAAAGCCAAUGAGCCCACAGUUGGAAUUUUGGACUGGGGUUUAGAAACAUGAGUACAGGAGGCUGACAACAUUGGAUGGAGUCCAGGAGAAGCAGCAGUCCCUCCAGAACAGAAGGUCCCAUUCGCAAAGGAGUCAGCACGAAACAUGUGGGUCUGGCUCCCAGGACGUUGCACUUGUUGGCCAAAGUUCUUCUGUAACCAAAUGCACGAGGUUCCCUCCUCAUGAGCAUAAGGCUGAAGCACAACCAGGAGACCAGAGUGAAGCUAGGCUUACGGCUCGCAGAGGGUACUGCCCCUCAGAGGAAGCAAGAGGCUCUUCACUGGGGAGGUCAUACGUAUUCAUGUGUGACAACCUGUUACCACCUGUAGGGCAGGCACAGUCAUGAGCAUGCUCAGUGGAGAUCACUUGUCACACGAUCAAAAAUAAAUGGUGGGUGGAAGCAA